UAAGCGGAGGAAAAGAAACUAACCAGGAUUCCCCUAGUAACUGCGAGUGAAGCGGGAAAAGCUCAAAUUUAAAAUCUGGCGGUCCUUGUGGCCGUCCGAGUUGUAAUCUGGAGAAGUGCUUUCCGCGCUGGACCGUGUACAAGUCUCUUGGAACAGAGCGUCGUAGAGGGUGAGAAUCCCGUCUUUGACACGGACUACCAGUGCUUUGUGAUGCGCUCUCAAAGAGUCGAGUUGUUUGGGAAUGCAGCUCAAAAUGGGUGGUAAAUUCCAUCUAAAGCUAAAUAUUGGCGAGAGACCGAUAGCGAACAAGUACCGUGAGGGAAAGAUGAAAAGAACUUUGGAAAGAGAGUUAAACAGUACGUGAAAUUGCUGAAAGGGAAACGCUUGAAGUCAGUCGCGUUGGCCGGGACUCAGCCUUGCUUCCGCUUGGUUUAUUUUCUGGUCGACGGGUCAGCAUCAGUUUUGAUCGUCGGACAAUGGCUGGGGGAAUGUGGCAUCUUCGGAUGUGUUAUAGCCCUCGGUCGCAUACGAUGGUUGGGACUGAGGAUCUCAGCACACCUUUAUGGUCGGGGUUCGCCCACGUUUGUGCUUAGGAUGCUGGCAUAAUGGCUUUAAACGACCCGUCUUGAAACACGGACCAAGGAGUCUAACAUGCAUGCGAGUGUUUGGGUGGAAAACCCGAGCGCGUAAUGAAAGUGAAAGUUGAGACCUCUGUCGUGGAGGGCAUCGACGCCCGGACCAGACCUUCUGUGACGGCCCUGCGGUAGAGCAUGUAUGUUGGGACCCGAAAGAUGGUGAACUAUGCCUGAAUAGGGUGAAGCCAGAGGAAACUCUGGUGGAGGCUCGUAGCGAUUCUGACGUGCAAAUCGAUCGUCAAAUUUGGGUAUAGGGGCGAAAGACUAAUCGAACCAUCUAGUAGCUGGUC
rnacentral:rRNA from 1 species